AUAGCCCUCGCUGCCUGCCAUUGUUACUCAAGCCAGCAAGCAAGAAGCACAAAAGAAGCCAACACCAAUCAAGGCCUCCAUCCAAUCCCAAGCAACCUCGAAGAUGUCUUGCUGCGGAGGAAGCUGCGGCUGCGGCAGCGCCUGCAAGUGCGGCAACGGCUGCGGCGGCUGCAACAUGUACCCCGAGGUCGAGGCCGCCGGCGCCACCCUCCUCGUCGCCGCCACCGCCACCCACAAGGCGUACGUCCCUUCUCCUUCCUCAUAUAUCAUGCACUCGAUCGUAACAAUAUGACUGUAUGUUGAUCUUGGUAUGGGUGGGGUACGUGCAGGAGCUCCGGCGGCAUGGAGAUGGCGGCCGAGAACGGCGGCUGCGGCUGCACCCAGUGCAAGUGCGGCACCAGCUGCGGCUGCUCCUGCUGCAGCUGCUAGAUCAUCGGUCAUGCAUGCACCGCGUGCCUCAUAUCUAUGAUCUAUCUAUAUAUCCAUCUACCACCAUGUAACGCUACCUGAUCACGGUCUUUGUAUGUAUGUACGCACCUGCCUGCAUGAGCAGAGCAGGUGCCAUGCCAUGCAUGUAAACCCCUAAAUAAAAUCUCCCGUGGUUUAACCCCCUAUACAUGUGUUUGUGUUAUAGUCUUAUAGACCAACUUCUGGCCCAUGUUUACUAUGAACUUGCGACUUGCGAGGUGCCUGGGUUGUUAAUAGACCAGCUGGAUGCUCUCUUGAAGCAACGUAUGCACCGCUUGGAGUCGGUGUAUCUUUAUACACAUGUAUUUAUUUUACAGGUGUAUAUCAUCGGCCACACCUGGGAAAAAACGAUGGAUGGAGAAGUGUAAAUUUACAGGGGUAUUGCUCUGUGAAACGAGAAUCGAAUCAGGGCCUUAAGGGUAGGGAUGGCAAUGGGUAGGGUAUGGGCGCGUACGACUUUUUUCUGCCCAAACCCAUACCCAAAUCUUUUUUCUAUACCCAUCUAUUUCAAUAUCCAUGGACACAAAUUGGUACCCAUGCCCAUACCUAUCGGGUAUAUUAUACCCAAUGGAUAUCCAAUGGGUAUAGUAUCUAACAUUGGCAUGAUAAAGGUAAGCCAAGAAAAGGGCCUAAAACUAAAUUUAGGUACUCGGCCAUCACAAUCCGGUUUGCACUUACAUCAAAAUUUUACAAUGUGGAUUGACACACAAAUGUCUUAAUCUUCAUUACAAACUAACUUAAAAAAACAAGUUUCAAACUUGCAAUGCCAAUCACUGUAGGUAUUAUAGGGUUUAAUUUAUUUAUUAAUUUUUCUGGGUAUCCAUUAGGAUACCCAUGGGUAUAAUUUCAUACCCAUACCCUACCCAUGCAUUUUGCGGGUAUGGACACCCAUUACCCAUGGGUAUGAAGUAGUAAAAAGUCUUAUCCAUGCCCACUGUUUUCGGGUAGGGUACCCGCGGGUACCCAUACCCAUGGGCAAAACUGCCAUCCCUACUUAAGGGCGUUUGAUACAUGCGAAUAUUACUGGCCAAAGUUGAGUAUGAGAUACAUACAAUACAAACUUGACACUUUUGAAAGUCGUGCUAUCAAUCAUGAGACGCAUAGUUUAGCCAAAUUCUCGCUUAAUCUUUGUCAAAGGGUGUCACAUCUGGUUUGGCCAACCCCAUGAUCCGAUAUGUAUCCUACUCUCUGUGGUUUUCGAUGAAUAAAAUUUGGUUAAACCCUAAAAAAACUUAUUUGACGCGCCUUAGUUUUUUUCGAGAAUUUUUUUUAAAUCCGUUCAUCAAUCAUGGCAGUACAAAAAUCACAACCAGGUCCAUGAACCACCUAGCGACGACUACACUCACUGGAGCGAGCUAAACGUGCGCCGCCAUUAUCGCCCCUCCCUUACCGGAGUCGGACAAACCUUAUUGUAGUAGACAGUUGGAAAGUUAUCGUGCUAAGACCCUCAAGGACCACCGCACUGCAUAGCAACCAUCGUCGAUGAAAAGAGUUGUAGAUUGGAAAGAUCAAAGCUAUAACCACACAAGCGAAGACGAACAAAAAUGGAUCCAAUAGAUCCACCAAAGUCCAGCACGACAGAAUCCUGUGAGAUCCGGCGGGGACACACCUCCACAUGUCCUCCUCCGAUGUUAUUCGCACCACCGGGACGAGGAUCGGAUGUGGGAGACAUUAUUCCUACCCAGGGACAUCACUACCGUCACACAGCCCCAACCAAGACGUUAAACCUAACAAAAACGAGAACGGGUCCCUCCCGCUGCCGGGGGGCCAAGAUCCUCCGCACUCCGGGGAAUCGGCGCCGGCGGCAACGGGAUGAGAAAGGAAACUUUUCUUGAGAAGGAGGAAAGACAGACACAUACUGUUGUGUCUAAAUUACCGUGUCUUAGUUUGAUGUACUAUUUGCACCAGCUACUUCAUAACUAGAUUGCCAUGGUUGACGAUGGGUGUGUUCCCCUCUACUAAUAGUGCGGCAGUGCCCUAGCGGCGACAACUAUAUCAUGAACAAUUAAAACUUCACGAAAUUGGUGGCCUGGUGACUUAUGCCUGUGCCUAUAUCGCACGCUCUUUUGUGAUGACAAAGAAACAGAUUAUCAUUUUCGGAGGUUAAAUGGAAACAGAUGGAGUGAACCACAUGUAUGUUGUACCAGCAAAACAAUAUUUAAAUCGAUUCGUUGAUGAUUUCCUUGAUAUAAAAUUUGAGGUGUGCUCUACAACACCCCACCCUACCCCCGGAGCUCCUAUUUGGCACGCUAAGCGCUAGCGGUCGAGCCCGUGCGCGUCCCCUUCCCUUGCACACCCAUUUGGGUCGGCCCAUGCGCGGGGCGGGACACGCCGUUUUUAUUUUUUAUUUUUCUUUUAUUUAUUUUUUAAAUAAUUCAGGAUUUCAAAAAGUUUCAAAUUUAAAAAAAAUGUCAACUUUGAAAAAACAAAGAAAUCAUAAAAUGUUCAUGGAUUCAAAAAAUAUCUUGAAUUUGAAAGACAUGUCCGGACAUUCCCAAAAUGUUCAUAAAUUUGAACAAAAUGUUCACAAAUUAAAAAACAUGUUCAGAAAACUAAAUAAAUGAUUCUCAAUUACGAAAAUAUUGAAAAAUCAAAAAAUGUUCGUUGAUUCAAAAAAUGUUAAUUAAUUUCGAAAAAUAUUUGUCAAACAAAUAGUAUUCAUGAAUGUCAAAAAUUGUUCCCAGAUUUCAAAAACUAUUUCUUGUCAAAAAUUAUUCAGCAAUUCAAAUGUCCAUGAGUUUUAAAACAAUGUUUACAAUUUUAAAAAAUUCUUAGAUAUAAAAAAAUGUUUGUGAAUUCAAAAAAUAUUCAAGAUUAAAUUAAAUUCAUGAAUUUUUAAACAUGUUCAUGAAUUUGAAAAAUAAUCACAACAAAACAAUGUUCAUGCAAUUGGAAAAUGCUCACAAUUUAAAUAAUGUUAAAAAUCAUUAAAAAGUUCAUAAAUUUGAAAAUAAGUUCAAAAAAUGAAAGACUGAAAAAAGAAAAGAAAAACUGACAUCAAAAUAGGAAAAUAUAAAUAAGGUAAAAACGAAAACGAAAAAUAGAAAUGAAAUAAUGAAAAUGAAAAAACAAAAAUAACCCGAAAGGAAAAAACUGGUAUGGAAAGGUUCUAGAACGUUCCCAAAACCGAAAAGGAGGUACUUGGGCCGCCCCAAAAUGUGUACCUAGUGGGAGGGGCGUAUGCGCUAGGAUUAGCCCCCUAAAAAGCUUCACAACUUUUGAGCAGAUCAAUGGUCUAGAUUAAAACAUGUCCUUUACUUUAGAAGGGGUAAUAUAAAAAAUUCACAUUAUAAAAACACUUGCAAUAAAAAAGAUAACGGGCGCUCUAGAAACCCAUGGCGGCUAGUGCGACUUGUUUGGAGCUAUUCGUCUCCUUCCCAACCCUUAUCCACUACCCCGGUCGUCCAUGUAUCUGUCAAAAGUGUUAGAUGAAGGAAAUAUGCCCUAUAGGCAAUAAUAAAGUUAUUAUUUAUUUCCUUAUUUCAUGAUAAAUGUUUAUUAUUCAUGCUAGAUUUGUAUUAACCGGAAACAUAAUACAUGUGUGAAUACAUAGACAAACAUAGUGUCACUAGUAUGCCUCUACUUGACUAGCCCGUUAAUCAAAGAUGGUUAAGUUUCCUAACCAUAGACAUGAGUUGUCAUUUGAUUAACGAGAGCACAUCAUUAGGAGAAUGAUAUGAUUGACUUGACCCAUUCCGUUAGCUUAGCACUUGAUCGUUUAGUAUUCUGCUAUUGCUUUCUUCAUGACUUAUACAUGUUCCUAUGACUAUGAGAUUAUGCAACUCCCGUUUACCGGAGGAACACUUUGUGUGCUAUCAAACGUGACAACGUAACUGGGUGAUUAUAAAGGUGCUCUACAGGUGUCUCCGAAGGUACUUGUUGGGUUGGCGUAUUUCGAGAUUAGGAUUUGUCACUCCGAUUGCCGGAGAGGUAUCUCUGGCCCACUCGGUAAUACACAUCACUUAAGCCUUGCAAGCAUUGCAACUAAUGAGUUAGUUGCGGGAUGAUGUGUUAUGGAACGAGUAAAGAGACUUGCCGGUAACGAAAUUGAACUAGGUAUUGAGAUACGGACGAUCGAAUCUCGGGCAAGUAACAUACCGAUGGCAAAGGGAACAACGUAUGUUGUUAUGCGGUUUGACCGAUAAAGAUCUUCGUAGAAUAUGUAGGAGCCAAUAUGAGCAUCCAUGUUCCGCUAUUGGUUACUGACCGGAGACGUGUCUCGGUCAUGUCUACAUAGUUCUCGAACCCGUAGGGUCCGCACGCUUAAAGUUCGAUGACGGUUAUAUUAUGAGUUUAUGGUUUUUGAUGUACCGAAGGUAAUUCGGAGUCCUGGAUGUGAUCACGGACAAGACGAGGAGUCUCGAAAUGUUUGAUACGUAAAGAUCAAUAUAUUGGACGACUAUAUUUGGAUAUCGGAAUGGUUCCGGGUGAGAUCAGGAUAAUACCGGAGCACCGGGAGGUUAUUGGAACCCUCCCCCCCGGAGGUAUAUGGGCCUUAAUGGGCUUUAGUGGAAAGGAGGGAAAAGGAGCAAGGGAGGGGGCGCCCCCCCCCCCCCCAAGCCCAAUCCGAAUAGGGAAGGGGGCCACCCCCCUUUCCUUCCUCCCUCCUUCCUCUUCCUUCCCUCCCCCUCUCCAAAUAGGAAAAGGAGGAGUCCUACUCCCGAUGGGAGUAGGACUCCCCCCUUGGGCGCGCCUCCUCCCCUUGACCAGCCCUCUCCUCCCCUCCUUUAUAUACGGAGGAGAGGGGCACCCCAUAGACAGAACAAUUGAUCUCUUGGAUCUUUUAGCCGUGUGCGGUGCCCCUCUCCACCAUAGUCCACCUCGAUAAUAUCGUAGCGGUGCUUAGGCGAAGCCCUGCGACGGUAGAACAACAUCGUCACCACGCCCUCGUGCUGAUAGAACUCUCCCUCACAGCUCGGCUGGAUAGGAGUUCGAGGGAUGAAACCGAGUUGAACGUGUGCAGAACUCGGAGGUGCCGUGCGUUCGGUACUUGAUCGGUCGGAUCGUGAAGACAUACGACUACAUCAACCGCGUUGUGCUAAUGCUUCCGCUUUCGGUCUACAAGGGUACGCGGACACACUCUCCCCUCUCGUUGCUAUGCAUCACCAUGAUCUUGCAUGUGCGUAGGAAAUUUUUUGAAAUUACUACGUUACCCAACAGUGGUAUCAGAGCCAGGUUUUAUGCGUUGAUGUUAUAUGCACGAGUAGAAAACAAGUGAGUUGUGGGCGAUACAAGUCAUACUGCUUACCAGCAUGUCAUACUUUGGUUCGGCGGUAUUGUUGGAUGAAGCGGCCCGGACCGACAUUACGCGUACGCUUACGCGAGACUGGUUCUACCGACGUGCUUUGCACACAAGUGGCUGGCGGGUGUCAGUUUCUUCAACUUUAGUUGAACCGAGUGUGGCUACGCCCGGUCCUUGAGAAGGUUAAAACAGCACUAACCUGACGAACUAUCGUUGUGGUUUUGAUGCGUAGGUAAGAACGGUUCUUGCUCAGCCCGUAGCAGCCACGUAAAACUUGCAACAACAAAGUAGAGAACGUCUAACUUGUUUUUGCAGGGCAUGUUGUGAUGUGAUAUGGUCAAGACAUGAUGCUAUAUUUUAUUAUAUGAGAUGAUCAUGUUUUGUAAUCGAGUUAUCGGCAACUGGCAAGAGCCAUAUGGUUAUCGCUUUAUUGUAUGCAAUGCAAUCGCCCUGUAAUUGCUCUACUUUAUCACUAGGCGGUAGCGAUAGUCAUAGAAGCAAUAGUUGGCGAGACGACAAUGAUGCUACGAUGGAGAUCAAGGUGUCGCACUGGUGACGAUGGUGAUCAUGACGGUGCUUCGGAGAUUGAGAUCACAAGCACAAGAUGAUGAUGGCCAUAUCAUAUCACUUAUAUUGAUUGCAUGUGAUGUUUAUCUUUUAUGCAUCUUAUUUUGCUUUGAUUGACGGUAGCAUUAUAAGAUGAUCUCUCACUAAAUUUCAAGAUAAAAGUAUUCUCCCUGAGUAUGCACCGUUGCCAAAGUUCGUCGUGCCCAGACACCAUGUGAUGAUCGGGUAUGAUAAGCUCUAUGUCCAUCUACAACGGGUGCAAGCCAGUUUUGCACACGCAGAAUACUCAGGUUAAACUUGACGAGCCUAGCAUAUGCAGAUAUGGCCUUGGAACACCGAGACCGAAAAGUCGAGCUUGAAUCAUAUAGUACAUAUGAUCAACAUAAUGAUGUUCACCAUUGAAAACUACUCCAUUUCACGUGAUGAUCAGUUAUGGUUUAGUUGAUUUGGAUCACAUGAUCACUUAGAUGAUUAGAGAGAUGUCUAUCUAAGUGGGAGUUCUUAAAGUAAUAUGGUUAAUUGGACUUUAAUUUAUCUUGAACUUAGUCCUGGUAGUAUUAGCAUAUCUAUGUUGUAUAUCAAUAGCUCGCGUUUAGCUCCCCUGUUUUAUUUUUGAUAUGUUCCUAGAGAAAACUAAGUUGAAAGAUGUUAAUAGCAAUGAUGCGGAUUGGAUCCGUGAUCUGAGGAUUAUCCUCACUGUUGCACAGAAAUAUUAUGUCCUUGAUGCACCGCUAGGUCACAGACCUAUUGCAGGAGCAGAUGCUGACGUUAUGAACAUUUUGACAAAAGCUCGGUAUGAUGACUACUUGAUAGUUUAGUGCACCAUGCUUUACGACUUAGAACCGGGACUUCAAAAAUGUUUUGAACGCCACGGAGCAUAUAAGAUAUUCCAAGAAUUGAAAUUGGUAUUUCAUACUCAUGCCAGUGUCGAGAGGUAUGAGACCUCUGACAUUACUUUGCCUACAAGAUGGAGGAGAAUAGCUCAACCAGUAAGCAUGUGCUCAGAUUGUCUGAGUACUACAAUCACUUGAAUCAAGUGGGAGUUAAUCUUCUAGAUAAUAUAGUGAUUGACAGAGUUCUCUAGUCACUAUCACCAAGUUGUUAGAACUUCAUGAUGAACUAUAAUAUGCAAGGGAUAACGGAAACGAUUCCCAAGCUCUUCAUGAUGCUGAAAUCGACGAAGGUAAAAAUCAAGAAAAGCAUCAAGUGUUGAUGGUUAACAAGACCACUAUUUUCAAGAAAAGGGCAAAUGGAAUAAGGGGAAUUUCAAGAAGAACGGCAAGCAAGUUGCUGCUCAAGUGAAGAAGCCCAAAUCUAGACCUAAGCCUGAGACUAAGUGCUUUUACUGCAAAGGGACUAGUCACUGGAAGUGGAACUGCCCCAAGUAUUUGGCAGAUAAGAAGGAUGGCAAAGUGAACAAAGGUAUAUUGGAUAUACAUGUUAUUGAUGUGUACUUUACUAGUGUUUAUAGCAACCCCUCAGUAUUUGAUACUAGUUCAGUUGCUAAGAGUAGUAACUUGAAAUGGUAGUUGGACAAUGAACAGAGACUAGUUAAGGGUGGAGCAACGAUGUGUGUUGGAAGUAGUUCCAAGAAUGAUAUGAUCGUCAUCGCACACUCCCUAUACUUUCAGGAUUAGUGUUGAACCUAAAUAAGUGUUAUUUGGUGUUUUCGUUGAGCAUGAAUAUGAUUUGAUCAUGUUUAUUGCAAUACGGUUAUUCAUUUAAGUUAGAGAAUAAUUGUUAUUCUGUUUACAUGAAUAAAACCUUCUAUGGUUAUACACCCAAUGAAAAUGGUUUGUUGAAUCUUGAUUGUAGUGAUACACAUAUUCAUAAUAUUGAAGCCAAAAGAUGCAAAGUUAAUAAUGAUAGUGCAACUUAUUUGUGGCACUGUCGUUUAGGUCAUAUUGGUGUAAAGCGCAUGAAGAAAAUCCAUGCUGAUGGGCUUUUGGAAUCACUUGAAUAUAAAUCAGUUGAUGCUUGCGAACCAUGCCUCAAGGGUAAAGAGGACUAAGACUCCGUUCUCCAGAACAAUGGAGCGAGGAACUGACUUAUUGGAUAUAAUACAUACUGAUGUAUGAGGUCCGAUGAGUGUUGAGGCUCGCGGCGGGUAUCGUUAUUUUCUGACCUUCACAGAUAAUUUGAGCAGAUAUGGGUAUAUCUACUUGAAGAAACAUAAGUCCGAAACAUUUGAAAAGUUUAAAGAAUUUCAGAGUGAAGUGGAAAAUCAUCGUAACAAGAAAAUAAAGUUUCUACGAUCUGAUCGUAGAGGCAAAUAUUUGAGUUACGAGUUUGGUCUUCAAUUAAAACAAUAUGGAAUAGUUUCACAAACUCAUGCCACCUGGAACACCAUAGCGUAAUGGUGUGUCCGAAAGUCAUAACUGUGCUUUAUUUGAUAUAGUGCAAUCUAUGAUGUCUCAUACCGAUUUACCACUAUCAUUUUGGGGUUAUGCAUUAGAGAUAGCUGCAUUCACAUUAAAAAGGGCACCAUCUAAAUCUGUUGAGAUAACACCGUAUGAACUGUGGUUUAGCAAGAAACCUAAGGUGUCGUUUCUUAAAGUUUGGGGUUGCGAUGCUUAUGUGAAAAAGGUUUAUCUUGAUAAGCUCAAACCCAAAUCGAAGAAGUGCGUCUUCAUAGGAUACCCAAAAGUAACUGUUGGGUACACCUUCUAUCACAGAUCCGAAGGCAAGAUAUUUGCUGCUGAGAAUAGAUCCUUUCUAGAGAAGGAGUUUCUCUCGAAAGAAGUGAGUGGGAGGAAAGUAGAACUUGAUGAGGUAACUGUACCUGCUCCCUUAUUGGAAAGUAGUUCAUCACAGAAAUCUGUUUCUGUGACUCCUACACCAAUUAGUGAGGAAACUAAUGAUGAUGAUCAUGUAACUUCAGAUCAAGUUAUUACCAAACCUCUUAGGUCAACCAGAGUGAGAUCCGCACCAGAGUGGUACGGUAAUCCUGUUCUGGAGGUCACGUUAAUUGACCAUGACGAACCUACGAACUAUGAGGAAGCGAUGAUGAGCCCAGAUUCCGCGAAAUGGCUUGAGGCAUGAAAUCUAAUAUGGGAUCCAUGUAUGAGAACAAAGUGUGGACUUUGGUUAACUUGCCCGAUGAUCGGCAAGCCAUAGAAAAUAAAUGGAUCUUCAAGAGGAAGACGGACAGUGAUAGUAGUGUUGCUAUCUACAAAGCUCGAAUUGUCGCAAAAUGUUUUCGACAAGUUCAAGGUGUUGACUACGAUGAGAUUUUCUCACUCGUAUCGAUGCUUAAGUCCGUCCGAAUCAUGUUAGCAAUUGCCGCAUUUUAUGAUUAUGAAAUUUGGCAAAUGGAUGUAAAGACUGCAUUCCUGAAUGGAUUUCUGGAAGAAGAGUUGUAUAUGAUGCAACCUGAAGGUUUUGUCGAUCCUAAAGGUGCUAACAAAGUGAGCAACCUCCAGCGAUCCAUCAAUGGACUGGUGCAAGCUUCUCGAAGUUGGAAUAAACGUUUUGAUAGUGUGAUCAAAGCAUAUGGUUUUAUACAGACUUGCGGUGAAGCCUGUAUUUACAAGAAAGUGAGUGGGAGCACUACAACAUUUCUAAUAAGAAGUGUGAAUGACAUAUUGUUGAUCGGAAAUAAUGUAGAAUUUUCUGGAAAGCAUAAAGAAGUAUUUGAAAUGAGUUUCUCAAAUAAAGACCUCGAUGAAGCUACUUACAUAUUGAGCAUCAAGAUCUAUAGAGAUAGAUCAAGACGCUUGAUAAGUUUUUUCAAUGAGUGCAUACCUUGACAAGAUUUUGAAGUAGUUCAAAAUGGAACAGUCAAAGAAAGAGAUCUUACCUGUGUUACAAGGUGUGAAAUUGAGUAAGACUCAAAGCCCGACCACGGCAGAAGAUAGAAAGAGAAUGAAAGUCAUUCCCUAUGCCUCAACCAUAGUUUCUAUAAAGUAUGCCAUGCUGUGUACCAGAUCUAUUGUAUACCCUACACUGAGUUUAGCAAUGGAAUACAAUAGUGAUCUAGGAGUAGAUCACUGGAUAGCGGUCAAAAUUAUCCUUAGUGGAAUAAGGAAAUAUUUCUCGACUAUGGAGGUGAUAAAAGAGUUCGUCGUAAAGAGUUACGUCGAUGCAAGCUUUUUACAUCGAUCUAGAUGACUCUAAGUCUCGAUCUGGAUACAUAUUAAAAGUGGGAGCAAUUAGCUAGAGUAGCUCCAUGCAAAGCAUUGUUGACACAGAAAUUUUCAAAAUACAUAUGGAUCUGAAUGUGGCAGACCCGUAGACUAAACUUCUCUCACAAGUAAAACAUGAUCACACCUUAGUACUCUUUGGGUGUUAAUCGCAUAGCGAUGUGAACUAGAUUAUUGACUCUAGUAAACCCUUUGGGUGUUGAUCACAUGACGAUGUGAACUAUGGGUGUUAAUCACAUGGUGAUGUGAACUAUUGGUGUUAAAUCACAUGGCGAUGUGAACUAGAUUAUUGACUCUAGUGCAAGUGGGAGACUGAAGGAAAUAUGCCCUAGAGCCAAUAAUAAAGUUAUUAUUUAUUUCCUUAUUUCAUGAUAAAUGUUUAUUAUUCAUGCUAGAUUUGUAUUAACCGGAAACAUAAUACAUGUGUGAAUACAUAGACAAACAUAGUGUCACUAGUAUGCCUCUACUUGACUAGCUCGCUAAUCAAAGAUGGUUAAGUUUCCUAACCAUAGACAUGAGUUGUCAUUUGAUUAACGGGAUCACAUCAUUAGGAGAAUGAUAUGAUUGACUUGACCCAUUCCGUUAGCUUAGCACUUGAUCGUUUAGUAUUCUGCUAUUGCUUUCUUCAUGACUUAUACAUGUUCCUAUGACUAUGAGAUUAUGCAACUCCCGUUUACCAGAGGAACACUUUGUGUGCUACCAAACGUCACAACGUAACAGGGUGAUUAUAAAGGUGCUCUACAGGUGUCUCCGAAGUUACUUGUUGGGUUGGCGUAUUUCGAGAUUAGGAUUUGUCACUCCGAUUGUCGGAGAGGUAUCUCUGGCCCCUCGGUAAUACACAUCACUUAAGCCUUGCAAGCAUUGCAACUAAUGAGUUAGUUGCGGGAUAAUGUGUUAUGGAACGAGUAAAGAGACUUGCCAGUAACGAGAUUGAACUAGGUAUUGAGAUACCGACGAUCGAAUCUCGGGCAAGUAACAUACCGAUGGCAAAGGGAACAACGUAUGUUGUUAUGCGGUUUGACCGAUAAAGAUCUUCGUAGAAUAUGUAGGAGCUAAUAUGAGCAUCCAUGUUCCGCUAUUGGUUAUUGAACGGAGACGUGUCUCAGUCAUGUCUACAUAGUUCUCGAACCCGUAGGGUCCGCACGCUUAAAGUUCGAUGACGGCUAUAUUUUGAGUUUAUGGUUUUUGAUGAACCGAAGGUAAUUCAGAGUCCUGGAUGUGAUCACGGACAAGACGAGGAGUCUCGAAAUGUUCGAGACGUAAAGAUCGAUAUAUUGGACGACUAUAUUUGGAUACCAGAAUGGUUCCGGGUGAGAUCGGGAUAAUACCGGAGCACCGGGAGGUUAUCGGACCCCCCCGGAGGUAUAUGGGCCUUAAUGGGCUUUAGUGGAAAGGAGGUAAAAGGAGAAAGGGAGGGGGCGCCCCCCCCCCCCCAAGCCCAACCCGAACUGGGAAGCCCCCCCCCUUUCCUUCCUCCCUCCUUCCUCUUCCUUCCCUCUCCCUCUCCAAAUAGGAAAAGGAGGAGUCCUACUCCCGGUGGGAGUAGGACUCCCCCCUUGGGCGCACCUCCUCCCCUUGGCCGGCCCUCUCCUCCCCUCCUUUAUAUACGGAGGAGAGGGGCACCCCAUAGACACAACAAUUUAUCUCUUGGAUCUUUUUGCUGUGUGCGGUGCCCCUCUCCACCAUAGUCCACCUCGAUAAUAUUGUAGCGGUACUUAGGCGAAGCCCUGUGACGGUAGAACAUCAACAUCGUCACCACGCCGUUGUGCUGAAGGAACUCUCCCUCAAAGCUCGGCUGGAUCGGAGUUUGAGGGACGUCAUCGAGUUGAACGUGUGCAGAACUCAGAGGUGCCGUGCGUUCGGUACUUGAUCGGUCGGAUCGUGAAGACAUACGACUACAUCAACCGCAUUGUGCUAAUGCUUUCGCUUGCGGUCUACAAGGGUACACGGACACACUCUCCCCUCUCGUUGUUAUGCAUCACCAUGAUCUUGCGUGUGCGUAGGAUUUCUUUUUAAAUUACUAUGUUACCCAACAUUAGACUCCUCCACUUUAUCUUACUCCUCACAUUCCCAUCAUCCGACAUAGUAUGACGACAUCUCAGCCCCUUGUAUUCACAUCACACGGUGUUCAAAUCGCACGAGCCACGAGGCCUUGUUUUUUAAACAGAAGUGGUGUACCCAAGCACCCCUAAUGAAAUUGGCGUUCCCUUGAUCCAAAGAAAAAAAGAGUAAAAAGAAACCAAACACUCCCCCCCCCACAUACACCUCCAGCGUUCCUAUGCACCGAAUUGUACACAACCAAUAGUUUCUACAUUGCUACACAUGAAUGAUGCUUACAGUUGAAAUAAAAGGCAACUCAUUGUCGCUUACAACUAAAUAGCAAAAGGAUACUAGGAGUAGAGUUUGACAUAGGCUAGAGUAAGUGCAUUAUAUAUCCUUAUUUCUGUUUCGCAAUUUUUUUUCCUUAUUUCUAGUGUGUGAUUGCCACCCAAGAUUGCAAUAGAACACCAGGUCAACUGACAAUCCAAUCCCUGGUGUUCUAUUAUAUGUCGAGUUAAAUACUAAAAAGUGCUACUAGGAGUAGAGUAUGAGAUGAACGAGAGUAAGUGCAUUAUGUAUAUCCUCAAUUAUAGUGUGCGGUCACCACCCAAGAUUGCAACAGAACACCAAUUUGGCUGACGAAACCAAUCUAGUCCAAUCGCUUAUUGAACUAAAAGUCGGUAUAUGUACUUAGGAGUUGCCUAACUAAAGCAUGCGGUUCAACUUGAUAGAUCUAGUAAGAUUCAACUCGAUAAUCGUUUAAUUCCUAAUGGUUUCUAUAAAAAAUAGUUACAAUAACUAACUCAAACGAAAUAUAAGCGAACAAUCAAACAUCGACCGGCUCACAUGGCUUCCAAAUAAAACUAAUUAACAGAUCGAGUAAUACAUUGUUUAUUCCUUGCUCUUAAUAUGAGGUUAUACAUAACAUAUUUUGGUCCAUCCUGAAGUAAGUAUUACGUAACAAGUACUAGCUAGUAUUUCAGUCUCUACUAGCAAAUGUUGCAAUAGCAAACAGCCUUGAUGGCGUUCUUCUUAUCACAGUGGUAGUCCUUGAGGCUGCCCUUCCUAUCACGUGCAAACACGUCACACGUGGCCUUGCAUAGAGGCUUGGUGCAGAAAAACUCCCCGCCGUCGUCAACGACCGCGAAAUUGUGCUGCACAACACCAAGAAAACACAAACCAUUAUAUUAGAAUAUUAGCGACAAACCCCCAUUAGAUUAGAUUAUACGUAUUUGACAAACACAAUUAAACACACCUGCAGAAAUAGGAGUACCCACAAGUGUUAGCACCACGAGGAAGCAAACAAUAGCAGCCCGUGUGUCCAUCCCAAGAGUUCUCUCCUUUUUUGAACUAGAAGGAAAAAUAUGUGUUCUCUUCGUCUAUUUUAAUUUGGCUAUGGGACUAAUGUUUAUGUCUUGAAGUGCUUGGAGUGUUGUCUUAUAUAGACUUAUUGAAAGGGACAAAAAUAAAAGCAUUUAAAUGAUUGUUAAACUUAGCAAAAGAGAUAGAGGUGAGUCACACCCCAAAAAUGGAAGCACUUAAUGCUGGGUGAGAAAUUAAAUGACGAAGGCAAAGAAUAUAUGAGUGAUGUUUAUCCAAUAAUCAAGGCUUUAAUUUUCGACUACAAAAUAAGCAUGACCAUUCAAAAAAUGGAGUCAUCUUUUUGUCGCUGGUGACAUUGAUCAAACAUGGUUUUUUAUAAAAAAAAAUGUAUAGCCACUUUAAUUGCAAACACCAUUGUGCAUUGAAAUUCAGUUGACUUCAACAAAACAAUCAAUAUGAAUUGCAUGCUUGAUAUGUAACCAACUAAAACUAAAAUUGUAUGUUGUCUCGAGUUGACUAAAUCACCAUUUUUGGCUAGACAAUGUUUAAAACUGUGUCAACUGUGUCAAUUUGCACGGCGCCUGGGACAAUGCAAUGUCAAAUCUUGCACUAUUUUAAACCACCACAAGAUAAGCAAGCUGAGUUGGCCCGGGCCUCUUGCCAGACGCUGGCAUCCACCUCGAAAUCUAUAUCAAUAUAUUUUUUGUAUCACAUGAAUCAUAUAGUAUUGGUCUAAAAUAUAUUUUCUCUUGUUGCAAAAUAUGAAAGAAAAAUCGGCACAACAAUAUUAUAUAGACCCAUCGCAACAAUAGCAUGCUUCACAGUCGGUGGGUCCCAUGUAAAGACAUUUGGAAAUACCUCAAAAAUGCAUAUGUGUACUAUUUAUUAUUGUCCAAGAAUUUCACAUGCUCACUCACAACAAACUGUUGAAGAAUUCCGUGCAACUUAGAAACUAACGUAUGCAACAACGCGAGCACAACAUUUGUGUUAGGACUAACAAAAUUACAUUACAUUGUAGCAUGUCACACAUGUGUAUGUAGUAUGACGCAAAUGAGUUCACAGCAUACCAAAACAACGAAUGGUAACUACAAAAAAUUCCCAUAAAUCUAACAUUUUACAACCAAAAAAUUUGGUGGGCACUGACCUCACCUCAUCAAACUUGCUCUAAUAUUCUAGUUAGUGUAGAGUUUUGGAUUAAGCUAAAGUUGCUCUAGUAUUAUGCCACAACAAAAAGGAAAGAAAUGGGGGAAAACAAAGAAGAGCGGAGCAGGGUGGCUUACUCGGAUCUAAGUCGGCCAAUAUCAAUCGCAUUGCCCUCCUAAAUCCUGAUUACUCAAGCCAGCCCAAAAUUGAGGGGCUACUAAAAUAGAAGUUGAGCCUAUGGUGCAAGAACAGAAAAGCCAUUGGAUUGGAUAUGGAUAGCACAUGAUCUGGUGGAGCGAUCUCAGGCCACUUUUUGUAUAUUUUAUGAAAAAACCCUAUUAACAGUUAGGUACAAAACAAAACAUUCGCAGUGACCACCUUAAGUAUCUCAUCUCCCAAUCCAAUAGUGGAGUUAACGACCAUUUACAGAUUUCAGGUUUUUUCCAGCGACCAUUUAUAGAAUUUGCACAACCUCAUAUCCUAUCAGUUUUAUAAAAUAUAUUUUCACAUACCGAGCACAAAUAUAUGGUUGUAAGAAUGAAGAACUCAUACUCAUGCUUGUUUUAAUUCUAGUAUUUACACCCCUAAGGUUGUUAAGGUCCGGUUACAAAAACUCGAAUUUAAUUCUCUUAUAAGAACUUGUUAGAGUCCUGUCAUAGUGCACAUCCUCUCGUGGAUUCGAUAACUCAAGGUUGCUCCUUCGGGAAAAGGGAGGGAAACCUUUGUUGUCCAAACCGGAUCUCAAAGAGCACCACCCAUCUCUCACCCUACUCGAUGAUACAACAUCGACGACCAGGUACGUGUGUAACCAACCGUCUGCUCCCUCGCUCUGUCACUGUGGUGCUAUUCAUUACAUCAAGUCGGGACCCAUUUCCUUCCUUUUGAGGUUAACAAUUAAGGUUUCUAGUCUAUAUGAGGGCCUUCGGAUUCAACUUAUAAGAAUGUUAGUUCAAAUUUAAUGAUGAUUAUUUCAAGUGGAUGGUUAUGUGAACUAGGUUGGUAGAGUGGUGGCCGACCACUGUUGCGGCGGACUUCAGGGAUGUUUGAUCUAUCCACCUGGCUUGAUCAAGCAGCGUCGACAUUUGUGCAUCAUUAUUUUGUUGAAUAUGUUCGUUCGAUUUGCUUGUUGCAGGGGUGAUAGCCUCUGGUCCGACGUUUGGUUACACGAGACAAUAAGCUCCCCUUGCAAAAGUGUAUGAUGUGGGAAUUACGUGUUGUACUCCUCAGGUGCAAACGCACGUAUAUAUGAUGUACAGGAGUAGGCCACGACCUCAAUUAUACAAGGCAACUAGGAGGUGGGCCCAAUACACAAAUAUGCACAACAAAGACUGGACCGGAACUCCUCAAAAUGAUGCCGUAGGCAAGUCCUUGGUCAUGGUAUAUGCAAAUUGUUGGGAAGUAGGGACGUGUAAAACACGAAUAUGGCCAAGGGCCACCUAUUCCCGAACAAAAUGAAUAUCCAACUCAAUAUGCUUGGUCCGUCGAUGAUGCACCGGGUUAGCGGAGAGGUAGACUGCCGAGACGUUGUCGCAAUAGACCACCGUGGCACGGUCAACAGGGAAAGAGAGCUCCUGAAGCAGCUGGCGAAGCCACGAACACUCGGCGACGGUGUUGGCCACCGCAGGAUACUCAGCCUCAGCGUUGGAACGAGAGACCGUAGGCUGCCGCGUGGAUGACCACGAGAUAAGUGAGGGUCCAAGGUAGACACAAUAGCCCGAGGUGGAGCGACGAGUUUUAGGGCAGCCCGCCCAGUCUGCAUUGAAGUAGGCGGCGAGGGCAGUGUCGGCGGAGGCAUGAAGCGUGACACCAAGAUCCAUAGUGCCACAGACAUAGCGGAGAAUCCGUUUGACAACGGCCCAGUGCAUCUCGAGGAGCAUGCAUAUGAAGACACACCUGCUGCACGACAUACUGGAUCUCUGGUUGAGUUAAAGUGAGGUACUGAAGAGCACCAACAAUAGACCGAUAAAAAGCAGCAUCCGAAGCAGGAGAACCAUCCGUGGCAGAAAGCUUGGCCUUUGUAUAAACAGGCGUAGCAGCGGGCUUGUAGUUAAGCAUGUUGGCCCGCUCCAGGAGCUCAUGAGCAUACUUCCGCUGAUGAAAGAAGAAGCCAUCCGGACGGCACACCACCUCGACACCGAGGAAGUUGUGCAAAGGACCCAAGUCCUUGAUGGCAAACUCAGCGCGAAGACGAGCCAUGAGCUGACCGAGGAGACCAACCAUACAUGCCGUCAGGAUGACGUCGUCGACAUAGAGCAGAAAGUAGGCCGUGUUAGAGCCCUGAUGAUAGACGAAGAGCGAGGCGUCCGAGCGGGUGGAGCGGAACCCAAGCUGGUGGAGAAACGCUGCGAUGCGCUGGUACCAAGCACGCAGAGCCUUCUUAAGUUCAUACAAGGACCGCGAAAGCAGGCACACGUGGUCGGGAAGCGCCGGGUCAACAAACCCGGUGUGCUGCUGGCAGAAGACCUGCUACUCCAGGUGACCAUGGAGCAAGGCGUUGGAGACGUCCAUCUGGUGCACCGGCCAAGCACGGGAGACUGCAAGGUGGAGAACCGUGUGUAUCGUGUCGGGCUUGACGACCAGAGCGAAGGUGUCGAUGAAGUCGAUGCCAGCACGCUGUCGGAAGCCACGAACGACCCAACGCGGUUUGUAGCGAUCAAAGGUACCAUCGGGACGGAGGUUGUGUUUGAAGACCCACUUCCCGGUAAUCACGUUGGCGUGCUGAGGACAGGAAACAAACAUAGAAGAUUUGACUUUAGAAAAAAAAUAGUACAACUUAUCUAUACCUAAUAUUAAAGGACGGAGAUUUUUAUAGUUCUCCAUACAUCUAACUUUAUUAAUAGUCUUCAUCGGCCCACCGGAGCAAGACAAUAAGUAGGCCUGGAAACACUCGAUUCAAUGGGCCUGAAAAAUAAACGGGCAUGCAUCCUCUCUCGCUCAUCUCUCUCCUCUCGAACCCCUCAUAAAAAAUUUCUCUCCUCUCGAUCCCUUCGCUCUCUACUACGAGCGCUCCUGGGGCAGACAUGUUCUCCCUUCUCUCUACCGCUGCGGAUGGCCCAACUUGACUCCGAGACGAACUCUGCUCGAGCACGCACCCAUAGGGUGUCCCGACAGGUUCUUUGCGGUUCCGCAGGCUGGUCUAGGAACAUAUAGAAACAAAUUGACGCCAUCAAACGAAGCCCCAGCUCAAUUGCCUGGUUGCGGAGUGCGGCGGCAUGUCGAGCCGAACGCCGGCAAGAUCAUACAGGAUGAGGCAGUAGAUGCCAACGAUAGUGUGCGUCACCCAACUCGACGCAGGCGAGGAAGAUGAGCAGGACGGCGUUGGAGCUCAGCAGGGCGCCGACGAGAACGUACGGGAAGAGGCGGUAGACGCCGAUGGCGGUGUAGGUAACCCACCCAGCUCGACGAAGGUGAGGAAGAUGAGUAGGACGGGGGGUAGCCGGGGAUUUGAAGAGGACUCGGAAGGGCUACACGAGCAUGACCAGGUCGUCACUGAAUCGGAUCCGUCACCUCAUGCGGCUGAGCUGUUAGAGGACGAUGCAGAGGCUCUGGUCAAAGGCGACCAUGAUGGAUGUGUCACCGCCGGCCACGCGAUAGAGGAAGAAGGUGAGGCUCAAGAGCCGGCCAGCCGAGUGGACGUGCCGGUGCAGUUGUGACCGCUCGGGAGGUUGAAGGCAAGCGAGGGAGCUCAUGCGGCGACGUCGGCAAGGCUCGGUGGCGAGAUAGCGCAGAAGAGCGGUGCAGCGGAGCGACAACCACGAUGCUAGGGCGUUGCGGAGAGAAAGGAUGAAGAGAGAUAGGGCAAGGGAGUCCUACUGCUGGUGGAGGCACGCAGGAGGAGCUCGAGCAUCAGUUGGCGGGCGAAGCAAGGAGUCGCAGGGCUUUCCAGCGACUAUGAUGGUGCGGGUUGAUCUGGGGAGGCUGGGAGAGCUGCCUCCUAGGGGCGCUGGUUCGGGUUGACGUGUGCGUCAUGUGCACUGCUACAAAAUUGCUGGAUAUGUGUAUCUAUAUGUGUGCGGCUGCGAUUUGAAAGUCGUAGCAAUGCACAGGCUUAUAAUUAAAUAAUUAUAUAUCUUUACUUGUUCAGUAGCAACACAUGCUAGCAAGCAGCAGAGACAGUAUACUAUGUUGGCGAUCAUUUGGCGAGCGAGCAGUUGAAUUGCUGCUGGCAUGCAUUGUGCAGGGGCAUGUUCGCUUGGGUCUUGGGACGAAAUCGACUGAGUCAAUAAAUAAUUUUUUAAAAGGAUAUUAGACCCUCGGCCUCUGCAUCAUUCAUUAUGAUGCACACAAAUAUUUUUAGCAAAGUUAGCCAUGGGUCGAACCAUUAGAUAUCAAAUAGACAUCUACAACUAAGUCGACUUCUGCUGCAACAUCUCUUCAAGAAGGGAUAAACUUUCUCGCCAUCGACCGAAACAAUCCGUAAGAAGAAGAAAAUGAUCACACAUGUGAAACAUAAUUGUCAAUACAAAUACAUGACACAUGGUGGUACGAACACACAUCACGAUGGAAGAAUACCAGCAACUUAAAAGCAAGCCUACAUCAAAUCUAUAUUUCAUUAGUAUUUAGUCCAUAUUUUUAUUUCUAUCAACCUAAACUCCAAUUACGUUAAAAUUUAGGUUUGAACUGCAGAUAUGAGAUUUCGAAUUUAAAGAUUGAACGUAUAUUUAAAGUUCUCAUAGUAUGUGUCUAUUUUUUGGGGUGUCUUUUUACUCGAUAGGAAUCCAAUUCAAUGCUCAAAAUCAAAUAACAAGAUUAUUGCUACAUAUUUUGAUAAAGCUAAAUUUUACUUGAAUUUUGGAUGUAGUUUAGACAAAUAAUUCUCACUAAAUCUUACUAUGGGCCAAUUUUUCUCUACCGUUGCAACACACCGGAUCGAGAGUUUCCAAGAAAACAUUGUCAGUCAGAUGCAUUUACUCCAGAUCAUAACUCAUGUCCUAAGCUUCACGUCGUGAUCCUCAAAUCAUGCAUCUUUUUAUUUUCUCAUCAUCAACCGUUGUGACAUGACACAGUUCCUCGACCUGGCCAACCAUGGUUCAUAGGAACUGGUAUAUUUCUCCCGCUGCAACGCACGGGCAUUCGUGCUAGUAUUUUGAAACGGGAGUUAGUAGGUACACCAAUAAUUCGAUAUACCCACAAAAUGCUGGCUCUAGUUCCUUUCAUGGCUCCUUUGAUGUAAGAAAGAUGCUAGUAGUGACUAGAGACAAAGGGAAUCAAAUUAUGGGAGGAGGCGGCCCUAUCUAUAUUCCUCUUCUCCAAGCGGUAGCUCCCGUCCAUCCUUUGCCAAAAGUGGAGCAUCUCUCAUUUCCUUCUUCAUCUUCUCCUCCUCCUCCUUUCUUGAUGCUCACUCGCCUAUAAAUAGCUCUCGCUGCCUGCCAUUGUUACUCAAGCUAGCAAGCAAGAAGCACAAAAGAAGCCAACACCAAUCAAGGCCUCCAUCCAAUCCCAAGCAACCUCGAAGAUGUCUUGCUGCGGAGGAAGCUGCGGCAGCGCCUGCAAGUGCGGCAACGGCUGCGGCGGCUGCAACAUGUACCCCGAGGUCGAGGCCGCCGGCGCCACCCUCCUCGUCGCCGCCACCGCCACCCACAAGGCGUACGUCCCUUCUCUUUCCUCAUACAUCAUGCGCCUCGCUGUAAUAUGACUAUAUAUGUUGAUCUUGCUAUGGGACUAAGGAUGGAUGGAUGGGUGCAGGAGCUCCGGCGGGAUGGAGAUGGCGGCGGAGAAUGGCGGCUGCGGCUGCACCCAGUGCAAGUGCGGCACCAGCUGCGGCUGCUCCUGCUGCAGCUGCUAGAUCAUUGAUCAUCGAUCAUGCAUGCACCGCGCGCAUGCAUCAUAUCUAUGAUCGAUCCAUCCAUCCAUCUAGUACCAUGUAACGCUACCUGAUCGAGGGUCUUUGUAUGUAUGUAAGCACCUGCCAGCAUGAGCAGAGCAGGUGCACUCCCAUGCAUGUAAACCGACCCCUAAAUAAAAUCUCCCGUGGUUUAACCUAUACAUGUGUUUGUGUUAUAGACCAGCUUCUGGCCCAUGUUUACUAUCAACUUGCGAGGUGCCUGGGUUGCUAAUAGACCAGCUGAAUGCUCUCUUAAAGCAACGUAUGCACCGCUUGGAAUCGGUGUAUCUUUCUUUAUACACAUGUAUUUAUUUUACAGGUGUAUAUCAUCGGCCACACCUGGGAAAAACGAUGGAUGGAGAAGGGUAAAUUUACAGGGGUAUUGCUCUGUGAAACGAGGGUCGAAUCAGGGUCGUAAGGGUGUUUGAUACGUGUGAAUAUUACUGGCCGAAGUUGAGUAUGAGAUACAUACAAUACAAACUUGACACUUUUGAAAGUCGUGCUAUCAAUCAUGAGACACAUAGUUUAGCCAAAUUCUCGCUUAAUCUUUGUCAAAGGGUGUCACGUACUCACGUCUGGUUUGGCCAACCCCAUGAUCCGAUAUGUAUCCCACUCUUUGUGGUUUUCGAUGAAUAAAAUUUGGUUAAACCCUAAAAAAAACUUAUUUUGC
rnacentral:lncRNA from 1 species